rnacentral:rRNA from 1 species
UCAACGCUGGCGGCGUGCCUAACACAUGCAAGUCGAACGCGAAAGUCCCGCAAGGGAUUAGUAGAGUGGCAAACGGGUGAGUAACGCGUGGGUGACCUGCCUUCGAGCGGGGGAUAACGUUUCGAAAGGAACGCUAAUACCGCAUAACAUCCUGCCUUUGAAGAGGCGGAGAUCAAAGCCGGGGAUCGCAAGACCUGGCACUUGAAGAGGGGCCCGCGUCCGAUUAGCUAGUUGGUGGGGUAAUGGCUCACCAAGGCUUCGAUCGGCAUCCGGCCUGAGAGGGCGGACGGACACACUGGGACUGAGACACGGCCCAGACUCCUACGGGAGGCAGCAGUGGGGAAUUGUUCGCAAUGGGCGCAAGCCUGACGACGCAACGCCGCGUGGAGGAUGAAGACCUUCGGGUCGUAAACUCCUUUCGAUCGAGACGAAUGGUCUCCGGGUGAACAAUCUGGAGAAGUGACGGUACCGAGAGAAGAAGCCCCGGCUAACUCUGUGCCAGCAGCCGCGGUAAUACAGGGGGGGCAAGCGUUGUUCGGAAUUACUGGGCGUAGAGGGCUCGUAGGUGGCCAACUAAGUCAGACGUGAAAUCCCCCAGCUUAACUGGGGAACUGCGUCUGAUACUGGAUGGCUUGAGAUUGGGAGAGGGAUGCGGAAUUCCAGGUGUAGCGGUGAAAUGCGUAGAUAUCUGGAGGAACACCGGUGGCGAAGGCGGCAUCCUGGACCAACACUGACACUGAG